rnacentral:tRNA from 1 species
AGGCACAUGGCUUAGUGGUUAGAGUAUCUGAUUCAUGAUCAUAAGAUUGUGCUUU